rnacentral:piRNA from 1 species
UUAUUACUUACCCAUCAGUAUGUGGUUUGCC